GGGGCACCGUCCCCAGGCAGCCAACAAAGAUUAAUCCCUGAAGCCAGUGGUGACAGUGGCACAGCAUUGAAAGCUGCUGCCAAGUGCCAGCCGGGGUCCUGGUGGAGGCUGAACCCCGGCACACCCGCCCCCGCGGCCAGCCUCCGGUUCUGUUCCAAUGGCAGUGAAGGCUGCCAGCUCUGCUGGACGUCUCCUGACGCACCUCCUUCUUGCCCAGAGCCCAGGUGAGCACUGGGGAGCUCCACGGAGUGCAGGACCCCCAGGGAUGCUCAGCACGGUCAGCUCCAGGCCGCUGGCCCCAGAGCCCCUCCUGUCCUCCCGGCUGCUCCCACUCGUCCCGGAGAGCAGGAAGGACCAGGCGCUUGUCCUGGUGCAAAGCUUACGGGGCUGCUAAGACAUCACCAAUCGAGAAGGACAUCGUAGUGUGAUCGCACUCACGACCCGCGUGGGCCAGGAGAAGGGUUCCUGUCGGGGGGACCGGCCGGCUACGAAAUAAAGCCAUGAAAGUACCGUAUCAGGAAACAGGACGAAAGGCAGGGUGCUGUUGAAGCAGGGGCGAGACCCACGAGCCAUCCAGGAGGGCCUGCUCCAGCAAAGCAGGGCGAGCUCUGUUUGCAGCGGUACAGGUCGGAGGGGACCGGGGCGUCUGGUCUCUCUGCUUGCUUCCCAUGUGGCAGGGGUCUUGCAGUAAACACGGUAUUUGGUGUC